AACGCGAAGAACCUUACCCAGGCUCGAAAUGCAGGAGACGAUACCAGAAAUGGUAUUUUCCGCAAGGACUGCUGUAUAGGUGCUGCAUGGCUGUCGUCAGCUCGUGCCGUGAGGUGUUGGGUUAAGUCCCGCAACGAGCGCAACCCUUAUCAUUAGUUGCCAACACGAGAGGUGGGGACUCUAAUGAGACUGCCUGGGUUAACCAGGAGGAAGGUGAGGAUGACGUCAAGUCCGCAUGGCCUUUAUGUCUGGGGCCACACACGUGCUACAAUGGUCGGUACAGAAGGCAGCGAAACCGUGAGGUGGAGCAAAUCCCUAAAACCGAUCUCAGUUCGGAUUGUAGUCUGCAACUCGACUACAUGAAGUUGGAAUUGCUAGUAAUGGCGUGUCAGCUACAACGCCGUGAAUACGUUCCCGGGCCUUGUACACACCGGAGUA
rnacentral:rRNA from 1 species